rnacentral:rRNA from 1 species
GGUGAUAGAGGGGGAGAGGGAGAGGUGAUGGGGGGGGGGCAAGGUUUAGUCGGGAUUGCGUGGCGUAAAUGGGACGUAGGUGGCUGGGUAAGGUGGAGGUGAAAUCCCCGGGCUUAACUUGGGAAUUGGAUUCAAGACGGGCUUGCGAGAGGGUGGAAGAGGGAAGCGGAAUUCCAGGUGUAGCGGUGAAAUGCGUAGAUAUCUGGAGGAACAUCAGUGGCGAAGGCGGCUUCCUGGUCCAACACUGACACUGAGGUGCGAAAGCGUGGGGAGCAAACAGGAUUAGAUACCCGUGUAGUC